rnacentral:rRNA from 1 species
CCUACGGGGCGCAGCAGUGGGGAAUAUUGCACAAUGGGGGGAACCCUGAUGCAGCGACGCCGCGUGGGUGAGGAAGUACUUCGGUAUGUAAAGCCCUAUCAGCAGGGAAGAAAAUGACGGUACCUGACUAAGAAGCCCCGGCUAACUACGUGCCAGCAGCCGCGGUAAUACGGAGGAUGCGAGCGUUAUCCGGAUUUAUUGGGUUUAAAGGGUGCGUAGGCGGACAGUCAAGUCAGCGGUAAAAAUGCGGUGCUCAACGCCGUACAGCCGUUGAAACUGGCAGUCUUGAGUGGGCGAGAAGUAUG